UACGUAGGGUGCAAGCGUGGUCCGGAAUUAUUGGGCGUAAAGAGCUCGUAGGCGGUUUGUCGCGUCUGCCGUGAAAGUCCGGGGCUCAACUCCGGAUCUGCGGUGGGUACGGGCAGACUAGAGUGAUGUAGGGGAGACUGGAAUUCCUGGUGUAGCGGUGAAAUGCGCAGAUAUCAGGAGGAACACCGAUGGCGAAGGCAGGUCUCUGGGCAUUAACUGACGCUGAGGAGCGAAAGCAUGGGGAGCGAACAGG
rnacentral:rRNA from 1 species